rnacentral:rRNA from 1 species
GACGAACCUUGCUAACGUUAUUCGGAAUCACUGGGCUUAAAGGGUGCGUAGGCGGCGCAGCAAGUCGGGUGUGAAAUCCCCAGCUCAACUGGGGAAUUGCGCCCGAAACUGCUGUGCUAGAGGAAUAUAGAGGUGAGCGGAACUUAGGGUGGAGCGGUGAAAUGCGUUGAUAUCCUAAGGAACACCGGUGGCGAAAGCGGCCCACUGGGUAUUCUCUGACGCUGAGGCACGAAAGCUAGGGGAGCGAACGGG